rnacentral:rRNA from 1 species
UACCAAGGCGACGAUCAGUAGUUGGUCUGAGAGGAUGAUCAGCCACACUGGAACUGAGACACGGUCCAGACUCCUACGGGAGGCAGCAGUGGGGAAUUUUGGACAAUGGGGGCAACCCUGAUCCAGCCAUUCCGCGUGAGUGAAGAAGGCCUUCGGGUUGUAAAGCUCUUUCAGGAGGGAAGAAACGGUUGCGGCUAAUACCUGCGACUAAUGACGGUACCUUCAGAAGAAGCACCGGCUAACUACGUGCCAGCAGCCGCGGUAAUACGUAGGGUGCGAGCGUUAAUCGGAAUUACUGGGCGUAAAGCGUGCGCAGGCGGUUUUGUAAGUCAGAUGUGAAAGCCCCGGGCUCAACCUGGGAACU